UAUCUUAUUCAUCUUGGACUG
rnacentral:miRNA from 1 species